rnacentral:rRNA from 1 species
GACGAACGCUGGCGGCGUGCUUAACACAUGCAAGUCGAACGGAAAGGCCCUGCUUUUGUGGGGUGCUCGAGUGGCGAACGGGUGAGUAACACGUGAGUAACCUGCCCUUGACUUUGGGAUAACUUCAGGAAACUGGGGCUAAUACCGGAUAGGAGCUCCUGCUGCAUGGUGGGGGUUGGAAAGUUUCGGCGGUUGGGGAUGGACUCGCGGCUUAUCAGCUUGUUGGUGGGGUAGUGGCUUACCAAGGCUUUGACGGGUAGCCGGCCUGAGAGGGUGACCGGCCACAUAGGGAAUCAGAUACGGCAAGGACUAGUACGUGAGGGAGAAGAGGCGACAAAUGCACACUGGACCGAAACCUGAUGCAGAGAAGUCUACUGAGGAAUAAAUGAAAGAAAGGUGUAGAACGCUUAGGGCUGUGAUUAAGCGUGUGUAACGGUAAUGGGUAAAGAAGCACCAGCUAACUACGUA